AGUGAACGCUGGCGGUAGGCCUAACACAUGCAAGUCGAACGGCAGCACAGUAAGAGCUUGCUCUUACGGGUGGCGAGUGGCGGACGGGUGAGGAAUACAUCGGAAUCUACUUUUUCGUGGGGGAUAACGUAGGGAAACUUACGCUAAUACCGCAUACGACCUACGGGUGAAAGCAGGGGAUCUUCGGACCUUGCGCGAUUGAAUGAGCCGAUGUCGGAUUAGCUAGUUGGCGGGGUAAAGGCCCACCAAGGCGACGAUCCGUAGCUGGUCUGAGAGGAUGAUCGGCCACACUGGAACUGAGACACGGUCCAGACUCCUACGGGAGGCAGCAGUGGGGAAUAUUGGACAAUGGGCGCAGGCCUGAUCCAGCCAUACCGCGUGGGUGAAGAAGGCCUUCGGGUUGUAAAGCCCUUUUGUUGGGAAAGAAAAGCAGCAGGUUAAUACCCCGCUGUUCUGACGGUACCCAAAGAAUAAGCACCGGCUAACUUCGUG
rnacentral:rRNA from 1 species